rnacentral:rRNA from 1 species
AACAAACGCGUGGCGGCGUGCCUAACACAUGCAAGUCGUACGAGAAAGUCGGCUUCGGCCGAUGAGUACAGUGGCGCACGGGUGAGUAGCGCGUGGGUAAUCUGCCCCCCGGUCAGGAAUAACCCGCCGAAAGGCGGGCUAAUACCCGAUAACACUGACGCUCCGCGGAGCGUCUUUCAAAGAAGGCCUCUGUUUACAAGCUUUCGCCGGAGGAUGAGCCCGCGUACCAUUAGCUAGUUGGCAGGGUAAUGGCCUACCAAGGCUACGAUGGUUAGCUGGUCUGAGAGGAUGGCCAGCCACACUGGAACUGAGACACGGUCCAGACUCCUACGGGAGGCAGCAGUGAGGAAUCUUGCGCAAUGGGGGAAACCCUGACGCAGCAACGCCGCGUGAGUGAGGAAGGCCUUCGGGUCGUAAAGCUCUGUCAGAUGGGAAGAAAUGGAUGGGGGCUAAUAUCGCCCAUCCUUGACGGUACCAUCAGAGGAAGCACCGGCUAACUCCGUG